rnacentral:rRNA from 1 species
GAUGAACGCUGACAGAAUGCUUAACACAUGCAAGUCUUUGGCGAAGCUGUGCUCGCACAGCCUAGCCAAGGCGGACGGGUGAGUAACGCGUAAGGAACUUGCCCUGCAGUCAGGGAUAACAGACGGAAACGACUGAUAAGACCUGGUAAAGUCAGGCGGACUCAUGUCCAGCCUGAUGAAAAGAGAUGCUGCAGGAGAGCCUUGCGUCCUAUUAGCUUGUUGGUGGGGUAACGGCCCACCAAGGCGAUGAUAGGUAGCCGGCCUGAGAGGGUGGACGGCCACAAGGGGACUGAGAUACGGCCCUUACUCCUACGGGAGGCAGCAGUGGGGAAUAUUGGACAAUGGGGGCAACCCUGAUCCAGCAAUUCUGUGUGCACGAUGAAGGUUUUCGGAUUGUAAAGUGCUUUCAGCAGGGAAGAAAAAAAUGACGGUACCUGCAGAAGAAACGACGGCUAAAUACGU